rnacentral:rRNA from 1 species
GUCUACCGCCAUGCCACCCGAAACAAGCCCCAUGUUUGACCUCUGAAGCUAAGCAGCAUCAGGCUUGGUUAGUAGUUGGACGGGAGGCCACCUAAGAAGACCAGGUGCUGUAGGCA